rnacentral:misc_RNA from 1 species
GAAAUGCGAUAAGUAAUGUGAAUUGCAGAAUUCAGUGAAUCAUCGAAUCUUAGAACGCACAUUGCGCCCGCCAGUAUUCUGGCGGGCAUGCCUGUUCGAGCGUCAUUACAACCCUCAGGCCCCCGGGCCUGGCGUUGGGGAUCGGCGGAAGCCCCCUGCGGGCACAACGCCGUCCCCCAAAUACAGUGGCGGUCCCGCCGCAGCUUCCAUUGCGUAGUAGCUAACACCUCGCAACUGGAGAGCGGCGCGGCCACGCCGUAAAACACCCAACUUCUGAAUGUUGACCUCGAAUCAGGUAGGAAUACCCGCUGAACUUAAGC